rnacentral:lncRNA from 1 species
GAGAAGGAGAUUGCUGAGGGGCACGGUGACUGUGCCUAGAUGGCACUGUAUGCGUUGCCGGCUCCUCAGCCACUGGUUGCUAUUGUUGCUGCUGCGUUUGCUGUUGCUGGAGGUUGUGCAUUGUCUCCAUCAACACUUUCAUCUACUGCAUCAAAGCAACGAGUUGGACAUCCGUAGUAAUGAUCAGAUACGAAGAACUAGGCUCUACCAUUGAAGGUGGAGGUGGGAGGUUUUUCCAAUAGAAAGACUGCCUAGCGGAGUCGGUGGAAUUAUUUUGAGCUCUUGUUUUCGUCAUAACUGGAUUCUUUCAUUC